CGUAAUUCUAAGAAACUAAUUUGAAGGAAUUUUUUUAAAAGCUUAUAAUUUCGGAGCUAUGAGCGUUUUGAGCCAUUGAGCUAUGAGACCUAUAACUCGGAAAAUACUGCAGAUAGAAAGUUCGUUUGAAGGACAAAUUUUAGAGUUUCAAAUUCUAGUCGACACGUGUUUCAUGGUUUUCCCGAAAAAUCUCCCAUUUGGAAGCUAUGAGCAUUUUAAGUGCGAGCUAUGUCAGUCAUAACUCGGAAAAUACGGCAGAUAGAAACUUCGUUUAAA